rnacentral:lncRNA from 1 species
AGUUUAUAAAAUAGAAAAAAUAAGUCAAAUUGCUGGACCACCAGUUGGGUCAGGAAACUUGGAUGGUGGAAACUUCGACAUUCAAUGUCGCAAUCUUUGUUGUGUGCUGGGAUACACUGUAUGUUGCUAAUAGCAUACAAGUGAAAGACGUUAAUUUGUUACAUCUUUGCUAUGUUAAAUCUUCAAACUAGUAUAUGAGAAUAAAGGAAUAAAAUGUAUACCAUAUGCCUACACUUUAAUUUGGUAUAUCGUAGGUUGAAUAAUAAUCAACAGCUAUGUACAUAGCUAAUAGCUUGCAAAAAUGAUGUAACUGGACCUAUCAGAGUUACAUGAAUAAUAUUUUUCUUUUAUCCA